ensembl:snoRNA small nucleolar RNA SNORD47
AGCCUGUGAUGAAUCUAUUCUGCCAGAUGAGAACCCUGAUUAUACUCCUUUACCGUUCCAUUACUAUUCUGAGGUU